UGAGGAAUAUUGGACAAUGGGCGCAAGCCUGAUCCAGCCAUGCCGCGUGCAGGAUGACGGUCCUAUGGAUUGUAAACUGCUUUUAUACGAGAAGAAACACUACUUCGUGAAGUAGCUUGACGGUAUCGUAAGAAUAAGGAUCGGCUAACUCCGUGCCAGCAGCCGCGGUAAUACGGAGGAUCCAAGCGUUAUCCGGAAUCAUU
rnacentral:rRNA from 1 species